AAAAAAACUUCCCAUACGGCUUAUACAUGCAUCCCUGCUCUCGUUUCUUCACCUCUCUCCGUAGCAGAAAGAAAGGAAAACAUCCCAGGAAACCCUCCCCUCUCCAAAAUUCCUCUCUCUAUAUAGAACAGGUUAUCAGGGUUUCUGUCUCUCAAAUUCUCUCAAUCAUAAGAAAAAAAACUCUAACCUGAUUUCUCUCGCCAUUGUUUUCAAUCCCCGUCUGAAGAUUCAUUAUGAGUAAGGAUCGCAAGACUACCGAACUUGAGGAGGGAUGGGAAUAUAUGCAGAAUGGGAUCUCAAAGCUGAAGGGGAUCCUGGAUGGAUCACUAGAGCAAUUCAGCUCUGAAGAAUAUAUGAUGCUUUACACAACUAUCUACAAUAUGUGUACUCAGAAGCCACCAAAUGACUAUUCUCAACAGCUUUAUGACAAGUAUAAGGAAGCUUUUCAAGUAUAUAUUAACUCCACGGUAUUACCAUCAAUAAGGGAGAAACAUGAUGAGUUUAUGCUGAGGGAGCUUGUAAAAAGAUGGGUUAAUCAUAAAAUUAUGGUUAGGUGGUUGUCACGCUUCUUCAAUUAUCUUGACCGUUACUUCAUUGCUCGGAGGUCACUUCCACCACUUAAUGAAGUUGGACUGACUUGCUUCCGUGAUCUGGUUUAUCAGGAAGUGCAUAGUCAAGCCAAGGAUGCUGUGCUUGAUGUGAUUGGUAAAGAACGUGAUGGGGAACAGAUAGACAGAGCACUGCUAAAGAAUGUUUUAGAUAUAUAUGUUGAGAUUGGAAUGUCACAAAUGGAUCAUUAUGCAGAUGAUUUUGAAGCACACAUGCUUCAAGGUACUGGUGCUUACUAUUCUGUUAAAGCAGCAAACUGGAUUCGAGAGGAUUCUUGUCCAGAUUACAUGAUAAAGGCUGAGGAAUGCUUGAAGAGAGAGAGAGAUAGAGUUUCUCACUACUUGCAUUCAAGCAGUGAGAUAAAAUUAGUAGAGAAAGUGCAACAUGAGUUAUUGGUGGUCAAUGCAAAUCAACUGCUAGAGAAGGAACAUUCUGGAGUUCGUGCAUUGCUCAGAGAUGACAAGGUGGAAGAUCUAUCCAGGAUGUUUAGGCUUUAUCAUAAGGUUACCCGUGGCUUGGAACCUGUUUCUAAUGUAUUCAAGCAGCAUAUUACUGCUGAAGGAACAGCCUUGAUCCAGCAGGCAGAAGACGCUGCGAGUAGCCAGGCUGCAAAUGGUGGUGUUCAGGAACAAGUUCUCAUUCGAAAGAUAAUUGAGCUGCAUGAUAAAUACAUGACUUAUGUGACUGCUUGUUUUCAAAACCACACGUUGUUUCACAAGGCCAUGAAAGAGGCUUUUGAGAUCUUUUGCAAUAAAACAGUUGCUGGGAGCUCAAGUGCUGAACUACUGGCAACCUUUUGUGACACUAUCCUCCGAAAGGGUGGAAGUGAGAAACUAAGUGACGAAGCCAUUGAAGAAACACUGGAGAAGGUGGUUAAGCUGCUUGCAUUUAUUAGUGACAAGGACCUUUUUGCUGAAUUUUAUAGGAAAAAACUUGCCCGUCGACUUCUUUUUGAUCGGAGUGCUAACGAUGAACAUGAAAGGAGUAUACUGUCAAAAUUGAAGCAGCAAUGUGGUGGACAAUUUACCUCAAAGAUGGAAGGAAUGGUCACAGAUUUGCAAUUGGCCAAGGAACAUCAGUCCAGCUUUGAUGAGUAUCUUGCCAAUAACCCAUCCACACGUCCGGGGAUUGAUUUGCAAGUAAAUGUUCUCACAACUGGGUACUGGCCAACGUAUAAAUCCUCUGAUAUCAACCUACCUGCAGAAAUGGCUAGGGGAGUGGAAGUUUUCAAGGAGUUCUAUGACCUGAAGAGCAAGCACAGAAAACUAACAUGGAUUUACUCUUUGGGAUCUUGCCACAUUAAUGCCAAGUUUGACCAAAAAACUAUUGAGCUGGUUGUGACGACCUACCAGGCUUGUCUCCUGAUGCUUUUUAAUACUUCAGACAAACUCAGUUACUCAGAGAUUAUGACCCAGUCAAACUUGAGUGAUGAUGACUUGCCUAGAUUGCUUCAUUCCCUGUCAUGUGGCAAGUAUAAAAUCCUUAGCAAGGAGCCAAACACAAAGACUGUUAACCAAAAUGAUUACUUUGAGUUCAAUCACAAGUUCAAUGAUAGGAUGAGGAGGAUCAAGGUUCCUCUUCCACUUGUUGAUGAAAGAAAGAAGGUUGUUGAAGAUGUCGACAAAGACAGACGGUAUGCUAUUGAUGCUGCAAUUGUGCGCAUCAUGAAGAGUCGGAAAGUGUUGGGUCAUCAACAGCUUGUCUUGGAGUGUGUUGAGCAGUUGAAUCUCAUGUUCAAGCCUGACAUUAAAGCUAUCAAGAAGCGGAUAGAAGAUCUGAUCUCCCGAGAUUAUUUAGAAAGAGACAAGGAAAACCCAAACAUGUUUAAGUACCUGGCUUGAUUUUUGCUUAAAAGGAGCUGAAAGGGAGUAUACAGUUGCAGUUAUUCAGAUUAAUCAAUGUAAAUGGCGUAGUUGCAAUUGCCUUUAGUCAUUACACAAAAAAUGAGAAUACAGGGUCAGGAUUGUUGUACAUUUUCUCCUCAAUGCAGCCAGCUUUCUGCAGUGGUCUCAUCUAACCCGCAGUUACUGAAGAUCAAUAGUAGGAAAUAUAACUUCUUAUUGGCACAAGCUUGUUUGAUGCCAUAUGCAAUGUUGCCUUGCUAUUACUACAUUAUCUCGUUGAAAUAUGGUUAUGCUGUCAGGCAUGUUGUAUCAUCCGAUGGUGUAACCCUAGGCGGAGUUGCAAUAAUUCUCAAAAUCGGGAGUCUUAUGGAGGCUGAGAUUCCGUGCUCUGUUUCUCUUUUCCGUAACGGCCGCCCUUUCUAGAACAGAAGUGCCAGAUGUGGUAGUUGGCCCCUCCCCGAAUACACUCCUCUUUAUUUCUUGGUUAUAUAUCGACCGCAAACAGUCUUUUUAGGUUUCCCUCAAAAUUUGACGUGGCUUCUCUUCUUUCUGGUCCAGCCUUGUAUAUAAUUUGUAUUGAGCUAAUUGACCUCAUCUGAGUAAAAUUGAUCUGAGUUCCAUGCGA